ACUCCUACGGGAGGCAGCAGUGGGGAAUAUUGCACAAUGGGCGCAAGCCUGAUGCAGCCAUGCCGCGUGUGUGAAGAAGGCCUUCGGGUUGUAAAGCACUUUCAGUAGGGAGGAAAGGUUGUGACGUUAAUACCGUGCAGCUGUUGACGUUACCUACAGAAGAAGCACCGGCUAACUCCGUGCCAGCAGCCGCGGUAAUACGGAGGGUGCAAGCGUUAAUCGGAAUUACUGGGCGUAAAGCGCGCGUAGGCGGCUUA
rnacentral:rRNA from 1 species